rnacentral:rRNA from 1 species
CCUACGGGGUGCAGCAGUGGGGAAUAUUGGACAAUGGGCGAAAGCCUGAUCCAGCCAUGCCGCGUGUGUGAAGAAGGCCUUCGGGUUGUAAAGCACUUUCAGUGGGGAAGAAAGCCUUGGGGCUAAUACCCUCGAGGAAGGACAUCACCCACAGAAGAAGCACCGGCUAACUCCGUGCCAGCAGCCGCGGUAAUACGGAGGGUGCGAGCGUUAAUCGGAAUUACUGGGCGUAAAGCGCGCGUAGGCGGUCUGAUAAGCCGGUUGUGAAAGCCCCGGGCUCAACCUGGGAACGGCAUCCGGAACUGUCAGGGUAGAGUGCAGGAGAGGAAGGUAGAAUUCCCGGUGUAGCGGUGAAAUGCGUAGAGAUCGGGAGGAAUACCAGUGGCGAAGGCGGCCUUCUGGACUGACACUGACGCUGAGGUGCGAAAGCGUGGGUAGCAAACAGGAUUAGAUACCCUGUAGUC